CAGGAAUCUUCUUCUCCUAUCUCGAUCUAUGCCCGAGCCCAACCGAUCCCCUGUCUUCUCCACCGGCCUCCCCGUGCUCUCAACCUUCCGGGGGCGCGCUCAACUUUGCCUGGCCGAGAAGCUUGAGUUCCGCCAAGCCCUAGCCCCUCGCCUCUCCUCGCCACCGCCGGAAACUGCCAUGGUGGUUGCGCCUCGCCCCCCUCUCCAUCCAUAGCAAAGGAGGCAGGGGAAGGUCUGGUUUGCGCCACCUAUGGAGAGGCGGUGGUGCGAGGCAUGGAGCACAACGAAGAAGUCGAGGAUCCUAUGCGCGAUGGACGGAACCGGAAUCGGGGUUCCGGCCUGCAGCGGGCGGUCCUUGCCGGUGCUGCGUGGACUGCAUCCUACCGGCGCGUACUUGCAUCAUCACGCCGCUCAGAUCGGGCGGCGGCAGCUUUUGGGAUCAGCUCCGGCGGACGCUAGCUGCUCUUCGUCUGGCCGCUAGGAGGUGCAAGGAGGUUGGGGCGGAGGCCCCGGAGUUGAUCUAUUUGGAUGUGAUGGUAAGGGGACCUGCACAUUGAUCUACUUGUGGACCCGUGUGGCGGCAUGGUCGGUUAGGUGGUCGUCUUCGUGGUGGUGGACGGAUCUCCUCCCUGCCAAAUCUCUCUGUCGAACUAUUCUGAGCUCUCCCCUAACCGAGCUCUCCGUGGUUGCCGGCCGCCGGCCUAGCUCCGGCGCCGUCGCCGGUUGGUCGUCUCCGCGUGCUCGGCCUGCCUAUCGUGCGUGCUGCCCCAGCCGACGCCCUGCGCGGGUAGGUGGAGAUGAGCCGUAGUUGUGGGCUGUUCCACCGGUCAUCAAGCCCAGCACCGUCGUGCAGCCGACCGCCGGCUUGGUUUGUGUUCUUUCAGUACGUUUUAACCUUUUCCCGAUCUUCGAUUCGGCUUUACUUGCUUACGCCCAUGGUCAGUGGUCUUGCCUAUGUUGCAACUGGAUGUGCUCUUUUUCAGUUGACGAGAUCCAAGGAAGGCCGCUGGUUUGGAGUGAAGGACUGAAGGCUGAUGCGCCAUGUCCGUCCGGCCGAGGACCUCCUCCUUGCAGAUGCAGCUGGAGGGCACGCCCAGAGCAUGUACCACCCCAGCUGCACCCAAUCGUGUGUCUCAUCAUUGGAGCAGCAGUGUGAGUUUAUUUUGCCAAAAUCAUCUUUCUGGAUUUGUCUUUUUGUGCAUCCGUUAGUUGUUUCCUUUCUACAUUUUGCUCCCUCAACUUAACCUUAAACUCUAUUUUUGUUACUGUUUUAAUCACUUAUUUGAUGGUUCAGUAAGCUGGUCCAAUCUCGUGAAAGCAACUAGCAGAAAAUUAAUAUGUGAAGACAUCAUGAAAUGAAGGAAGAGCCAGCCUAGGGAAAUUGCAAUGUUCAUAUAUCAUGUAAGUAUAUAAUUGUUGAACCUCCAGAUAUUUUUAGUUGUUCAUUUAUGUUUCAUGAGCAUUGGUUUUUGUGCAUUCAGUGUGUCGGUACCUCUGAAUUUUUUGAUAUAUUUAGUUAUUUAAUGAUAAAAAUUAGAUGGCAUCCAAAAGUUCCUUUAAGAUCAAGAUCAUUGCACGAAAAGAGCUGCUACAAUAUUUUACUUUGGUGGUGGAUUUACUGCAUUUGAAUUGUGAAUAACAUCCAAUUAGUAAUUAUAUUGGAACAUUAGUGUUCUACUGUUCUCUCUAUCCUUGCUUCCAUUAUUCCUGUUUUAGCAUCUCAGCUAAAUGUUCAAUGGGCAAACAUAUACUUCUAACUGCAUUUAUUUGACAGCUUGGUUUUGCAAUCAGAUCAAAAUAUAGAUUUGACCGUAUAAUAUCUAGAAAUAAAGUAGUUUGCCCAUAGGUAUUCCAUUUUUUGUCUGUAGCACCAAUAAUGUGUUGCUUUUCUCAUGGUAUUAUAGUCAAUACAACUGAAUUUCAUGUUUUGUCUUUUGCUUGGAGAAAUCCUCUUACUUUCAAUUUUCGUGAGACACUGAUGCAAUUAAUUAUUUUGUGGUACCAAAGGAUAAUCUGAAGAUUCUUGAAUUGUUACGCAUUUCUCUCUCUUGCAGUUCCAUUUAUACAAGUAACAUCACAGAAGAGUAAUCAUACACUUUUUUGCAGGGCGGCAAAGAUGAAUGCUUUGUAUGUGUCAUUCAUAUGUAAUUAGUAGGUUUCUUUCGGAAUAUUAGUGGUUCUCCAUAUCCUUGCUUGCGUUAUUCCUGUUUUAGCAUCUCAGCUAAAUGUUCAAUGGGCAAACAUAUGCUUCAAAUUCCUUUUUAUUUGACAGCUUGGUUUUACACUGAGGUAAAAAAACUCAAAAUAUAGAUUUGACCAUAUAAUAUCUAGAAAUAAAUAGGUAUUCCAGUUUUUGUCCAAGGUGCAGCGUUGUUCGUAGCACCAUUAAUGUGUUGAUUCUCUCAUGGUAUUUUAGUUAAUAUAAAUGAAUGCCAUGUUUUGUCUUUUCUUUUGAGAAAUCCUCUUACUUUCAAUUCCCCUGAGACACUGAUGCAAUAUAUUAUUUUGUGACAGCAUGGCUAUGUGCCAUAGAUUCCUUGAAAUAGAACACACUAAGAACUAUAUUUGUGUCCUUUGGUUCCGAUUAGUUUUAUCUUUGCUCUACAAGUAGUUCCGCUCAGAAGUUGUCUGGUUCUUUUUUGGUACAGACCUUUACAUUUCAGCCCAAUUACUUAUAAAUUUACCAUGAGUUGGUCGCACUAGAAGUACACAUCAGCCAGCACCAGCCAUUACUUGCUUCACGAAAACAAUUGCACAUAUUUCAGUAUAUCUUUUCAUUGUUAUUUUAUCACUGGAACUUAACAUUGCAGCCUGACUUCUGGAAUUUUGCUUAGAAUAAACCUUGAAACGGAAAAAAGUGAUACUAAUUCAACUAUGCGAAAGGAUACUACUUUUUUUUUAUAGUUAUAAUGUUUCAUUAGAUGUGUUAAUGUAAGCAUCCCUUUGAAUCUACGGUAUGUGAUUCUUAAGUUUAUUUUUAAUUAGUACGGCGGACUUUGCAAUGCAUUGUUUGAUUGUUGAUAGUUUUUAGUGUCCACUGAACACAAAUGAAGCAUGAACCAUUCCUUACAUAUAUAUACCUCCUGCUGUGGCAUUGCUACCAAACUCUGAUCACUUGUCUACUGUAGUUGAUGCAGUUUAUGAUUUAUUUUCAGAAAAUUAUUUGGAAUCUUCCUAUUUAGCACAAGGUGCUAUGGUUUGACCUAAUAAUAAUGCACCAGACGCAAUGAAUGACUAUGGUUUUUUCUAGGGUCCUUGGGUUGCAAGGGAAUUUGAUAGUUGUGACACUAUCUUGUGGUGGCGUAGGUUUAUUGUACCCUCUGAAAUUCAUGUACUGCUGAACUUGGUAAUUUCCCACACCAGAAGAUCUCUUUGAAGGUUGGUGUCCCUAUAAUGUUAUUGAAUAAAACAAUCAGUGUACAGGGUUGUGCAACGGAACCUCUCUCAUAUUUACAGGGUUAAGGCUAGACACUGGACACGGUAGGUGUUUAUUUAUCCAAACCUGUAUUUUCCCAUGAAGAGUCUUGAGAGUCACAGUGGAGAAAAAGAUUGUAAAUACUUGCACUAGACGACAGUGGUGUUGCAACUACUGAAACUACAAUUAUCUUAGACCAGGGGGUACUGGAGCAUCUGUAAGAGUAUGCACCUCAGAUCAUAUCAUGGUUGCAGAAAACACCUCAAUCUCAGCUCCAGAUUAUAAGUUGUUCUGAAAGAGAGAAGUAACGGAGUAUCCAAACCGAUCAAACAGACAUUCUGCAUCGAGCUGGUGCCCUAAAUUUCUCAAUAUUAUCGUAUACUCAUGAAUGGAGAGUACACCAGCAAAUUGCCCAAUAUCCUCCAUGAAGACAACAAGUCCACAACUCUUGCAGUAAGAGAAAAAAAAAGGAGUAGGACACUUGCGUCCUUUUGGAGGAAGAGGAAAACGUACAAUUGAGGUCUCCAAGACCCAGAACAGCAACACACCAGUCCUAGAGAGCUUUAGUCAGUAAAAUUGCACCGUAUUUUUAUAUAAAAUAGAACCUGCUAGCUUCAGUGUGCUGCUUAGGUAACAUGUAUUUUUAUAUUAAAUAGAACCUGCUAUCUUCAAUGUGCUUCUUAGGUAACAUAGACCAGUAAAUAAACUAUGUAAUACCGAUUAUUUAGUAGUGCAUGCACUGUUUAUGUCACAUAAUUUCAUGGGCUAUGUAAUUACUUAUUGCAAAUUUGCAGUACUACAUAGCCUUUGUUCUUCUGUAUGGAUGCACCUACCAGGUCAAAUCAUUUAACAGUGGCUUCACAAAGUAUUUUUGAACA